rnacentral:rRNA from 1 species
CCAGCAGCCGCGGUAAUUCCCGCUCCAAUAGCGUAUAUUAAAGUUGUUGCAGUUAAAAAGCUCGUAGUUGGAUUUCUGGCAGGAGCGUCCGGUCUCACACUCAGUGCGGGAACUUGGAUGUCUCUGGCCAUCUUUGGGGAUAUCCUGUUUGGCAUUAAGUUGUCGGGCAGGGGAUACCCAUCGUUUACUGUGAAAAAAUUAGAGUGUUCAAAGCAGGCUUACGCUUGAAUACAUUAGCAUGGAAUAAUGGAAUAGGACUUUGGUUCUAUUUUGUUGGUUCUAGGACCGAAGAAAUGAUUAAUAGGGAUAGUUGGGGGCAUUCGUAUUUAAUUGUCAGAGGUGAAAUUCUUGGAUUUAUGAAAGACGAACAUCUGCGAAAGCAUUUGCCAAGGAUGUUUUCAUUGAUCAAGAACGAAAGU